UACGGGGGGGGCAAGCGUUGUUCGGAAUUACUGGGCGUAAAGGGCUCGUAGGCGGCCAACUAAGUCGGAUGUGAAAUCCCCAGGCUUAACCUGGGAACUGCAUCCGAUACUGGAUGGCUUGAAUCCGGGAGAGGGAUGCAGAAUUCCAGGUGUAGCGGUGAAAUGCGUAGAUAUCUGGAGGAAUACCGGGGGCGAAGGCGGCAUCCCGGGCCGGCAUUGACGCUGAGUGAGCGAAAGCCAGGGGAGCAAACGGG
rnacentral:rRNA from 1 species